CAUGCAAGUCGAACGAGGAUAUACCUUUCGGGGUAUAAACCGAGUGGCGCAAGGGUGAGUAAUGCAUAGAUUACCUGCCUCUAGGAUAAGGACAACUUUGUGAAAACGAAGCUAAUACUUAAUAAUACAAGAGAGAAUAAUUCUUUUUUGUCAACGGGAGGGUAGCAAUACCUUUUGCCUAGAGAGGGGUUUAUGUCCUAUCAGCUUGUUGGUGGGGUAAUGGCCUACCAAGGCGAAGACGGGUAGCCGGUCUUAGAGGAUGGUCGGCCACACUGGGACUGAGACACUGCCCAGACUUCUACGGAAGGCUGCAGUCGAGAAUCUUUCGCAAUGCCCGAAAGGGUGACGAAGCGACGCCGCGUGAGUGAGGAAGGCCUUCGGGUUGUAAAGCUCUGUCAGGUGUUAAGAAAUAUAAGUGUGCUAAUACCACAUUUAUUUGACAAAGGCGCCAAAGGAAGCCACGGCUAACUCUGUGCCAGCAGCCGCGGUAAUACAGAGGUGGCAAGCGUUGUUCGGAAUUAUUGGGCGUAAAGAGCACGUAGGUGGGUUCGUAAGUCAGAUGUGAAAGCCUUCUGUUCAACGGAAGAAUUGCAUCUGAAACUGCGAGUCUUGAGUGUAGGAGGGGAGAAUGGAACUUCUGGUGGAGCGGUGAAAUGCGUAGAUAUCAGAAGGGACGCCGGCGGCGAAAGCGAUUCUCUGGCCUAUUACUGACACUCAGUGUGCGAAAGCUAGGGGAGCAAACGGGAUUAGAUACCCCGGUAGUCCUAGCUGUAAACGAUGGGCACUAAGUAGAGGGAAUUACCGAUGUUCUCUCUGCCGUAGCUAACGCAUUAAGUGCCCCGCCUGGGGAGUACGGCCGCAAGGCUAAAACUCAAAAGAAUUGACGGGGGCUCGCACAAGCGGUGGAGCAUGUGGCUUAAUUCGAUGCAACGCGAAAAACCUUACCGGGGCUUGACAUGGUAGAAGUAGGAACCCGAAAGGGUAACGAACGGUAUCCAGUCCGUAGCUAUCACAGGUGUUGCAUGGCUGUCGUCAGCUCGUGUCGUGAGACGUUGGGUUAAGUCCCCUAACGAGCGAAACCCUUGUUUUUAGUUACCAGCGGGUUAUGCCGGGUACUCUAGAAAGACUGCCGUCGUCAAGACGGAGGAAGGUGGGGAUGACGUCAAGUCAUCAUGGCCCUUAUGCCCCGGGCUGCACACGUGCUACAAUGGUCGGUACAAACGGAAGCGAAGCCGAGAGGUGGAGCGAAUCCUAAAAAGCCGAUCUCAGUUCGGAUUGGAGGCUGAAAUUCGCCUCCAUGAAGUUGGAAUCGCUAGUAAUCGCGGAUCAGCAUUGCCGCGGUGAAUAUGUUCCCGAGCCUUGUACACACCGCCCGUCAAGCCACCCAAGCAGGAUGCACCCGAAAACAUUAUAUCUAACCAGGUUUACCUGGAGGAAAGUGUUGAAGGAGUGUUUUGUGAGGAGGACUAAGUCGUAACAAGGUAGUCGUAGGAGAACCUGCGGCUGGAUCACCUCCUUUCU
rnacentral:rRNA from 1 species